rnacentral:tRNA from 1 species
GCCCGGGUGGUGGAAUAGGUAGACACGCAGGACUUAAAAUCCUGUGAACAGUAAUGUUCGUGCGGGUUCGAUUCCCGCCCCGGGUA